UACGGGGGGGGCAAGCGUUGUUCGGAAUUACUGGGCGUAAAGGGCUCGUAGGCGGCCAACUAAGUCAGACGUGAAAUCCCUCGGCUUAACCGGGGAACUGCGUCUGAUACUGGAUGGCUUGAGUUCGGGAGAGGGAUGUGGAAUUCCAGGUGUAGCGGUGAAAUGCGUAGAUAUCUGGAGGAACACCGGUGGCGAAGGCGGCAUCCUGGACCGAAACUGACGCUGAGGAGCGAAAGCCAGGGGAGCAAACGGG
rnacentral:rRNA from 1 species